UUCUUUUGUCCAGCUGUCGGCUGUUGUCUUUCGUGGUGCAGAUGCCGGACGAUUGACUGUUAACGGUAAACGCAUUAUUGGGUGGCUUCUCUUCAAAUAAGGCAGCAGAGUCAAUUGCUGUUGUUGUUUGUUUGUUAUUUUUUUAUGUUCUUUUUUGCUGAUAAUGUUUUUUCAGAAUUGCGCGUUGCGUGUGCUACAUAUGUACGCGUAUGUAUGUAUGUGUGUGCACAUGUAUAUAUAUUUGUUAGGGGGCGGGCGUCACACUGCUAAAUUGCCAAAGCAAAGUCGUACUUUUGACUGAGCGUAUGUAUUUUAACACCGUGGGCCGAGCCGACCCGAUGGCAGCUCAGGGUGAGCAACAACAUUACUGAAAGCUGUUGUUGUUGCGGUGAACGGUGAAAGGCCAAGAUACGCGGGAGAAGCGAAGAGAGAGAGAGAGAGAGAGAGAGAGAAGAGGAGCACCGAUUGGGAGGAGGGCGACCAGCAGAGAACAAGCAAUGGACAACGGCAGCGGCAGCGGCUGCGGCUGCGGCAGCUAAUGACAUGUUAACGCCAAGCAGCAGCCGUCUGUCGGUCCCAAAGCCACACGCAGUUAUUAAAAAGUGCUUUUGCGCGAUGGCCUGCACAGUGGGGCGAGUUAAUUGGAAGGGCGGCACCAGACCAAAUACACAUAAAAGUGAGCAAAGCGAGCAACUUCGAGUGGCACACGCAAUGCAAACAACUUUUUAAUCUUUACAUAUUUGUGCAUAUUAACACUUAGUAGAUACGAGUUUAAUUUA